CCUACGGGGGGCAGCAGUGGGGAAUAUUGGACAAUGGGGGGAACCCUGAUCCAGCCAUGCCGCGUGUGUGAAGAAGGCCCUCGGGUUGUAAAGCACUUUCAGUGAGGAAGAACGCCUGGUGGUUAAUACCCAUCAGGAAAGACAUCACUCACAGAAGAAGCACCGGCUAACUCCGUGCCAGCAGCUGCGGUAAUACGGAGGGUGCGAGCGUUAAUCGGAAUUACUGGGCGUAAAGCGCGCGUAGGUGGCUUGAUAAGCCGGUUGUGAAAGCCCCGGGCUCAACCUGGGAACGGCAUCCGGAACUGGCAAGCUAGAGUGCAGGAGAGGAAGGUAGAAUUCCCGGUGUAGCGGUGAAAUGCGUAGAGAUCGGGAGGAAUACCAGUGGCGAAGGCGGCCUUCUGGACUGACACUGACACUGAGGUGCGAAAGCGUGGGUAGCAAACAGGAUUAGAUACCCUAGUAGUC
rnacentral:rRNA from 1 species